rnacentral:rRNA from 1 species
AUGCACAAUGUCAUAAACAAAACAAUGUAUGCACUAAAUAAGAGAUGCUGGCUGCAUGUAGAAACAACCUAUAAUUCUUAUCAAUCAUGCUUUUCAGGAUUGUUGUGUUGCGUGGUUCGAGCUGCAGUGUAUGGCAUUAUUGGUGUGACAGUGUGGUUGUUUCUCAGUGCACGACAAUUGCUCCAUGGGAAUUACUACGGCGAAGUACUGGCACAGUUUGCCGUUGAGCAGAGUGCACGGACGCAUCCGUCGCAUUCUCAAGGAUGUGGAUUCUCGACGACCUCGUGGAGUUCGGCAGAGCGUUCUCAAGGGUUUCGGCCAAGAUGAUGACCUCUUCUUGGCGUACGGCUAGAGGUCCAUGGCAGAGGUGUUGUAGUUUGGCCCAGUGGAGGAGGCUGCGAGGGAAAUCACCGAGUCAUGUACUGAGUGAGUUAUUAGAUCUGACAUCUAGAGAAUACAAAUAGAAGCCGACGACCAUGAGAUGCUGGCCUUCUCAUUGUUCUUGCUGUCAGGCUACCACUAACUGUUUGUUGAGCAGCUCACUUGUGCUAGCAAGACGCCAUGGAUUUGCUUAUAACAAAUCCUGCUAUUAAGUUACAGAUGAAGCAAGGUCAGAAGUGAUUUUGCGCCAAUUCUUCCAACGUCGCUUCAUCGGGUGUCGAGUGUGCUUACGCGUGAAUUUGUGGGGCGUCGAGUGAAGCGGCUGGACGUGGCUUUUCGUCUGGACGUUGAGUUGCGUGUGGCGUGUUCAAGUCGCCGUGGUCGUUUUCUUGUAAUUGUUUGAUGGGUACUUUUGCAGCCGUGUGUACUUAUUUAUAUAUGGGUUUAGGUGUCUUGGUUUGUGGUGGCUGGGACCGGCUGGAAAUCAUAUGCCUACACCGUGUGCUAAUCAAACUUGUUUUGUUUGUUUGUAUUCGUUCCUGAAACUUUCCUCACGUGAGGGAGUUGUCCUUAUACGUUUAAUAUUAG